GUCAGGAUGGCCGAGUGGUCUAAGGCGCCAGUUUCAAGGUUUUACUCCUUCUUCAGGAAAGAGGCUUCUGGUCUCCAAUUGGAGGCGUGGGUUCAAAUCCCACUUCUGACA
rfam:Gasterosteus aculeatus cont1.013052, whole genome shotgun sequence.